CUUUCUCUUAGUUCCUCAAACUGUAGGUUCUUUUCUGAAGAUGUUCAUUAUCUAAGACAGAGAAAGUAUAUAUGAAAAAUAUAUGUAGAGUGAGAAAGAGAGCCAGAGAAAAAGAGUAUUUAUGAGUGAGAGAGAGAGAGAGAGAGAGAGAGAGAGAGAGAGAGAGAGAGAG